rnacentral:rRNA from 1 species
GGCAAAAUGAGAGCCCAACUGUCUCUUAUAACAAAUCAAUUAAACUGAUCUCCCAGUACAAAAGCUGGAAUUCCCUCAUAAGACCAGAAGACCCUGUGAAGCUUUAACUAACCUAUUAAACCUUAUAAUAAUUAGUUUCGGUUGGGGCGACCUCGGAAUAAAAAAGAACUUCCAAACAACAAUGAUUCAUCAUGUAUCAAGGCAGACAAGCCAUAACUAGACCCAGUAUAUCUGAUUAAUGAACCAAGUUACUCCAGGGAUAACAGCGCUAUCUUCUUCAAGAGCCCAUAUCAAAAAGAAGGUUUACGACCUCGAUGUUGGAUCAGGACAUCCUAGUAAUGCAGCAGCUACUAAGGGUUCGUUUGUUCAACGAUUAACAGUCCUACGUGA